UGAGUUGUGGCUCAGAGGUAGAGCGCUUACCUGGCACGUGCGAGGCACUGGGUUCAAUCCUCAGCACCACAU
rnacentral:tRNA from 1 species